rnacentral:rRNA from 1 species
UACAGAGGUCCCGAGCGUUGUUCGGAUUCACUGGGCGUAAAGGGUGCGUAGGUGGCAUGUUAAGUUUGAUGUGAAAGCUCAGGGCUUAACCCUGAAAUGGCAUUGAAUACUAGCGUGCUGGAGGUUUGGAGGGGGGACUGGAAUUCUCGGUGUAGCAGUGAAAUGCGUAGAUAUCAAGAGGAACACCUGAGGUGAAGACGGGUUGCUGGGCCAACACUGACGCUGAGGCGCGAAAGCCAGGGGAGCAAACGGG